rnacentral:rRNA from 1 species
GAUGAACGCUGGCGGCGUGCCUAACACAUGCAAGUCGAACGGAGUCCAGCCUUUAAGACCUUCGGGUCAAAGAGGGGAAGACUGAGUGGCGGACGGGUGAGUAACACGUGGGCAACCUGGCUCAUAGAGGGGGAUAACAGAGAGAAAUUUCUGCUAAUACCGCAUAAGCACACCCUGCCGCAUGGCAGAGGGUGAAAAGAGAAUCGCUAUGAGAUGGACCCGCGUCUGAUUAGCCAGUUGGCAGGGUAAGAGCCUACCAAAGCGACGAUCAGUAGCCGAUCUGAGAGGAUGAACGGCCACAUUGGGACUGAGACACGGCCCAAACUCCUACGGGAGGCAGCAGUGGGGGAUAUUGCACAAUGGGGGGAACCCUGAUGCAGCGACGCCGCGUGAGUGAAGAAGUAUUUCGGUAUGUAAAGCUCUAUCAGCAGGGAAGAUAAUGACAGUACCUGAAGAAGAAGCCCCGGCUAACUACGUG